CCAUCAUUCUGAAGUAAUUUAAUCACAAAAACUAAAAAUUUGGAAGCAAACAGAUAUUUUACUUAAUAGAAACCAUCUGCACUGUACAGUAGGCAAAUUGUAUAAAAAUGAAUAAAACUGUCUCUGGAGGCAAAUGACUCAGGCACCAGCUUAUAUAAUGAAGAUGUAUAUGUGCCUUUUAGCAUUUGCAUUGUCUAUUAGACUAGGUAAAUCGCAGCGCUGGUGUAAGCGAAACAGUUACAAAUUUUAUUACCAUCAUAUGACUGAUGACAAAUGCAGUGUGGGAAGCAAUGGAGGUGAGGCAGGGCUCCUUCCAGCCCCCAGACAGUGCUGUGCUGCGGAUGGGGCACAGUGAGUCCCGUAACGUCGGGCGCUGCUUUUUGGGUCAGCCGCUGGCCUGGGCUCCAGGUGGGCUCAUUUGUGCUGCUGGGACGGCGCCUCGCGCGCUGCUGUCCGUCGAGGGCUUCCAGCUGGCAGUGCUGGGCAGAUGCUCCCCAGCCAGCUCCUCCGUGCAGCACAACGCGUUUGUCUGACGCAGAGAUGCUUUCCUCCUUCCCUGCUGGCGCGUCUCUCUUCCCCUCUUGUUGAAGGACGGGUUUCAGCACUUUUCAAAAUAUUUAUUCAUUGGCGCUCAGCAACUUGCCUAAAUGAUGGCAAAUAGUAUGAAUUAUUCAAUUUCAGGGCUGCGAUAGCCCGCGUCUGCGCUGCUUUUAAAAUGAAGUUUGUAGGAGCCACGUUCAGCUGCUGAGAUUUAACACUCGAAGGAAACGCGCUCCGUGCUGAAAGCUUUGUACUGUUUCUUCCGAAGCCACAACAAUAUCUGUUUAGAAAAGCGGAGUGCAGGAAUGUUCUGACACAACAUUUCUUACAACAAAGGAAAAUCCCACCCUCCCGGUGAGGCACAGAAGGUGGGAUCACACCCGGGAGGUGGGCAGCAGGUGGACUGCUGUCUGCAUGAUGCUGCUACUGUGUGCCCCCACGACAAUGAGUUGUUGUUUCAGCAACCCCCCCACAGUGUCUGAAUUUGGAAGUUCUCUAAGAAAGAAGGAAAUACUUGGAAUCCAGGGGCUGCUCUUGGCCAGAAUGCAGUGGUUUUGUGAAUCCCAAAUUUCAAUUGGCACAAAGACGAAAUGGCCCCACAUACGAAAGAUGAGCUAUUGAAAGGAAGCAAACUCACCAGAAAGCCAGGAUUAAAUUCUUGCAGGAGAUCAGCAGAGAUGAGAGUGCCAUAACUGCAGGACUGAGGGCAAGAGCCUUUCUGAAGACCACGUAUGAGUACUAUGCUCACACAGGUGCCUGAUCUCCCUGGAGCUGCUCCUUACUCUCUCCAUCUUACUGUGUGCUAUGAAGGCCUGAUGCUGCCAGGGACCACGCACCUUUUGGGAUGCUUGGCACUGAAAUGCCCAUGAAGCCCUUACUGUUAAUCAAGAGAGGGAGAUUAGAGGAGAUCAGAACUACCAGCCUGAAGAGCGCUUUGCAUUUGACUACACCUUUCUAUCAGCAUAUGUUUUUCUUCUGAUAUUUCUGCAGGGAGUUCUCCAGGUAAAGGAAGAGCUGCUUCAACUCAGAGACACAACGACCAAACCACUUGGCAGUGGGCACAAAAAACGGAGACUGAACACUAAGAAACUGGUAAGAAAUGCAGAAUGCACAAGGUUCAAUUUUUGGGAUCCUCUCACAGCCUGGCAAGACUCCUGCAUUUUCAAAUGCUCACAUAGCUGCACUUGCUGCUUCACUGAAAAUAAUAGUACUGUGCUAAACAGCAUCAUCGUGGGAUCACUUAUGGGAUUUAGUUGUGUUUAAGGGGUGAAGGCGAGGAUACUGCAAAGUGAAAUCCUCCAGUGCAAAGAAAAUAAGGUACACUUCCUAUAAACCCCUGAAAUAGCUGCAUUUCAUGUAAGUGGUUGAAAUGUUUGUGGGGAAAAAAAUGUACUAGAAGAUUUUUAUUUACUCCCUAGGUUAUAAUGACUUGGUAGGAUUUGUCAGGAUUGAUGGAUAAAGGGGCAGACUUUGUGGCUACUUAAUCUCCAGAGCUGAAAAUAUUUCUUCAUUUGAAUGAGGAAACUUGUUAUGCUGCUGGGUGGUUAUUCAUUGUAUGGAUUAUUGUUUAGAGCUAGAGUGUGGUCUUUUAUUUUUGAUAUUUAAAUGGAAAGAAAAAAUAAAUAGCGUGUCCUUUUCAAAGCAAACAUUUCAAAAUGACUAGUCAAUACUGACUAUUAAAAAAAAAAA
ensembl:lncRNA